rnacentral:rRNA from 1 species
GACGUAGGGCGCGAGCGUUGUCCGGAUUUAUUGGGCGUAAAGAGCUCGUAGGCGGCUUGUUGCGUCGACUGUGAAAACCCGCGGCUUAACUGCGGGCUUGCAGUUGAUACGGGCAGGCUAGAGUUCGGUAGGGGAGACUGGAAUUCCUGGUGUAGCGGUGGAAUGCGCAGAUAUCAGGAGGAACACCGGUGGCGAAGGCGGGUCUCUGGGCCGUUACUGACGCUGAGGAGCGAAAGCGUGGGGAGCGAACAGG